rnacentral:tRNA from 1 species
GCCUGGGUGGCUCAGUCGGUUGGGCGUCUGACUUCAGCUCAGGUCAUGAUCUCGCGGUUUGUGGGUUCGAGCCCCGCAUCGGGCU